rnacentral:tRNA from 2 species
GUUCAAAUAGCUUAUAAAGAGCAUAACACUGAAGAUGUUAGGGAGAUUCUAGGAUCUUUGAACA